rnacentral:rRNA from 1 species
UACGUAGGGGCCUAGCGUUGUCCGGAAUUAUUGGGCGUAAAGAGCUCGUAGGCGGUUCGGCAAGUCGGAUGUGAAAUCUCCACGCUUAACGUGGAGGGGCCAUUCGAAACUGCCGUGACUCGAGUCCGGUAGGGGAGUGUGGAAUUCCCGGUGUAGCGGUGAAAUGCGUAGAUAUCGAGAGGAACACCUGCGGCGAAGGCGGGUUGCUGGGCUGAUACUGACGCUGAGGCGCGAAAGCCAGGGGAGCGAACGGG